rnacentral:rRNA from 1 species
UCUAAGAAUAUUCCGCAAUGGACGAAAGUCUGACGGAGCGACGCCGCGUGGAUGAAGAAGGCCGAAAGGUUGUAAAAUCCUUUUGCUGAUAAAGAAUAAGUGGUGUAGGGAAUGACAUCAUGAUGACAUUAGUCGGUGAAUAAGCCCCGGCUAACUACGUGCCAGCAGCCGCGGUAACACGUAGGGGGCAAGCGUUGUUCGGAAUUAUUGGGCGUAAAGGGCAUGUAGGCGGUUUGGUAAGCAUGGUGUGAAAUCCUGCAGCUUAACUGUAGAAUUGCAUUGGGUACUGCCAGGAUUGAAUCACAGAGGGGAAACUAGAAUUCCAGGUGUAGGGGUGGAAUCUGUAGAUAUCUGUAAGAAUACCGGUGGCGAAGGCGGGUUUCUAGCUGAUGAAUGACGCUGAGGUGCGAAAGUGCGGGGAGCAAACAGGAUUAGAUACCCCUGUAGACC